AAAAAUAAAACAUUAAGAUGUAUUCAAUUUCGACUUGAAUUAUAAUAAUUUAUUUAUUUAUUUUUA
rnacentral:tRNA from 1 species